GAUGAACGCUGGCGGCGUGCCUAAUACAUGCAAGUCGAGCGAACGGACGAGAAGCUUGCUUUUCUGAUGUUAGCGGCGGACGGGUGAGUAACACGUGGAUAACCUACCUAUAAGACUGGGAUAACUUCGGGAAACCGGAGCUAAUACCGGAUGAUAUUUUGAACCGCAUGGUUCAAAAGUGAAAGACGGUCUUGCUGUCACUUAUAGAUGGAUCCGCGCUGCAUUAGCUAGUUGGUAAGGUAACGGCUUACCAAGGCAACGAUGCAUAGCCGACCUGAGAGGGUGGUCGGCCACACUGGAACCGGGACACGGUCCAGACUCCUACGGGAGGCAGCAGUAGGGAAUCUUCCGCAAUGGGCGAAAGCCUGACGGAGCAACGCCGCGUGAGUGAUGAAGGUCUUCGGAUCGUAAAACUCUGUUAUUAGGGAAGAACAUAUGUGUAAGUAACUGUGCACAUCUUGACGGUACCUAAUCAGAAAGCCACGGCUAACUACGUG
rnacentral:rRNA from 1 species